ACAUGGGAAUAGAAUCUCAAACUUGGGAUCUGAUCAACCUCAUUUUGUUGAAGCUUUAGGGAGAUGAUUUGGGGACCUUAACUAAAUGAUCCUUGUGUACGUUGGCAAAUACAUGUGUGUGGGUUAAGAGAAGAUUUCUUUGUGCUGAUUCUGUACAUGUUCGUUUCAUGUUCAGCUUGUAUGCAGUGAAGUAUGAGCAAGAAUAUGUGCCAAUAUAUAAGAAUUGCACAUCAGUAAUUUUUACACUUGGCAUCCCAAAUGACCUGCAUAUUGCAGUAUACAAAGAAAUUUUAGUGUGUUGUGUAGUGUUUGCAUUGCUAUUUUGUCAGUUGCUUCAAAGGCUCAUCAGGAAAAACCUCCUCAAGCAUAGGGUUUGUGCAUUACUUUAUCUUGGUACCUGUCAUAAAACUUAUCUUAAGCUGUCUUACAAAUACCUUGCAUAAAUUGAUUAAUGUGGUUAUUGGUUGCACACCAAGUGGCAAAUGGUACUAACUGAAGCUCCCUGAGGAUCUGCAACAAAGUGCAAUGGUCAUUUUAAUUGCUGCAGGUAUGGUGGUCCUCUCUCUGCUAUGUAACUGCCCUAAGAACCUUUUCUGUAACUAUUUUGUGAGCAGCCACCCAGACCUGUUUGAAGGAUGUCUGUCUUCCACCUACUGUUCUGUAGAACUGGGAGUCCCUAUUUAUUCUGUUCUAUCUAGGCUGGUUUGUUUGGUGGUUUUCCAGCCUAGAACCCUUUAAAGUGCUGGGAAGUAAGAAAAUAUGUUUGGCCCUGCAGAAGAUCUGGGUAUUUGCUCAGAGACUAUGAUCCUUCCAUAAACAGCAGGGCUGGGCUAGAGAGGACAGAAAGAUGAAGGAGGGUUAUUUUAAUUGAACUAAUUGGAAUUUUUUGAGUUAAAAUCCCUGCUCAAAACCCUCUUUUUUUGUUGGAGGUAGAGCUCAUGCUUGAGGAUACAACUCUGUUUGUGUUGCCAUAUUUUUGUUGGAGAUAGAACUCAUGUCAAAUCUACCUGUCCAAAUAAUUUAUUCCUCUGGUAAACUUUAGCCGAAGGUGCUGAGUUUCUUGGAUCUACCCAGGCAGUACUUAGCAACUUUUUUAGGCUUCAGGCUGGAAUGACCCAGUUCAUGUCAGAGAAUGGUGGGUGCCAGAAUCUAGCUGCCAUGGGCACCUUUCCCCAUGGCAGCAUGGGAACAGCCAUCCACUGCUGAAUGCCACUGAAGUCCCAUAUCCUGCAGGCUGGAUGUGGCCCCUGGGCUAUAACUUGCCAACCCUUACUCUAAAGUGCACCCGUCUACCUUCUUAAGUACUGCAUCAUUUUUCCCAGUGGACUACACUGUGAUUUGAAAACCCUACACAGAGAAAAUAAAAUCAGUGUUUCAGUUUGUCAUGUGAUAUGCUCAUCUAGAAAUACUUUUGUUAUUGCCCCAUGUGUUAGAUGAAAAUAUGAGAUGUAAGACUAUUAAAUUAAAUCAGCUAUUAAAUAAAAGCACCAAACAGCCUUGCUGAAGCACACUGUCUAUACAGACGCUGGGGACCUGGGUCAAACUAAUAUGCUUUCUCUUCCAGUAAAGCACUGUUUUGGGGUUUUUUGUCCCCCAUAUCUGUCAGUACCCAAUUUGAACUCUCACCAGUUUUCUGCAAAUGUUGAAUUGGGUUUGUUCACUUGUGUACAAUAGAAUUAUUUCUGUUUGCCUUUCUGUUUGUUUUAUGAAAGCUCUGAAAAACUUAUAAAAUAUGUUAGAUUUUUACAUGAUACUUCAUAAUGGAUAAAUUGUGAUUGCCUGUAUGUAAAGUGUCCCUUUGUACUACAGAGCAGCACCAAAAACCUUUCAAAACUGGUUAAAAACGGUUAACCAUCUUAUGGCAGCAUGUUCAAACUUAGUCUAAGAUAAAUUGGUUUAUUUUCACAUUUCUAAUCAUGCUUUUGUUUGCCUUUUCUAUUAUGAUCUCAUGAUCUGUGAAAUUGUCUUACAAAACUUCAUAAAAAA